rnacentral:tRNA from 1 species
AUUUAUAUAGUUUAAAAAACAUUACUUUUUCAAUGUAAAAUUAUAUAAUUAUUAUAUUAUAAAUA